AUGAACGCUGGCGGCGUGCUUCACACAUGCAAGUCGAACGCAGCAUUUGCGACCGAUUUUUUCGGAAUGAAGUUGCUUAUGACUGAGUGGCGGACGGGUGAGUAACGCGUGGGUAACCUGCCUUGUACUGGGGGAUAGCAGCUGGAAACGGCUGGUAAUACCGCAUAAGCGCACAAUGUUGCAUGACAUGGUGUGAAAAACUCCGGUGGUAUAAGAUGGACCCGCGUCUGAUUAGCUAGUUGGUGAGAUAACAGCCCACCAAGGCGACGAUCAGUAGCCGACCUGAGAGGGUGACCGGCCACAUUGGGACUGAGACACGGCCCAGACUCCUACGGGAGGCAGCAGUGGGGAAUAUUGCACAAUGGAGGAAACUCUGAUGCAGCGACGCCGCGUGAGUGAAGAAGUAAUUCGUUAUGUAAAGCUCUAUCAGCAGGGAAGAUAGUGACGGUACCUGACUAAGAAGCGCCGGCUAAAUACGUG
rnacentral:rRNA from 1 species